GAGGAGCCUGCGGCGGAUUAGCUAGUUGGUAAGGUAACGGCUUACCAAGGCGAUGAUCCGUAGCCGGCCUGAGAGGGCGGUCGGCCACACUGACACUGACAUACGGGUCAGACUCCUACGGGAGGCAGCAGUCGGGAAUUUUGGGCAAUGGGCGAAAGCCUGACCCAGCAACGCCGCGUGAAGGAUGAAAUCCCUCGGGAUGUAAACUUCGCAAGAACGGGAAGAAUAAGUCGGUGCUAACACCAUCGGCGAUGACGGUACUGUUUGUAAGCUCCGGCUAACUCCGUGCCAGCAGCCGCGGUAAUACGGGGGGAGCAAGCGUUGUUCGGAUUUACUGGGCGUAAAGGGCGCGUAGGCGGCCACCGCAAGUCGACUGUGAAAUCUCCGGGCUUAACUCGGAAAGGUCAGCCGAUACUGCGGGGCUAGAGUGCAGAAGGGGCAACUGGAAUUCUCGGUGUAGCGGUGAAAUGCGUAGAUAUCGAGAGG
rnacentral:rRNA from 1 species